CACACACUACCAAUAAUUGUGUGGAAUGCAGCAAACAUGGAGAGAGAGAGCCCAGCAGACGUGGAAGUGGGUGAAAUAACCCAACAGCUUUAACAGUGCAGAUGGAAAGAAAAUCCUCCAGCAUGGAAAGAAAAUACAUCUCAUCACCGCAACCAUUUUCACUCAAGACAGUCAAUAGACUAGUCGAGGCAGAAUUCGGAUGAUGGUUUAGAUGGAUUCUUCCCUAUUCUACUAGCAGAUACUGGUGGGAUGCUCAGAAUCACAGCCAUCUUGAAUCCUGUAUUUUCCAACUAUGCUGGAAUGAAGGGCAUCCAUGGACCAUAUGAAACACUCCUCACAGCUUCCAUAUGUCUCAGUGCAGUGAACAUCAGGCAUGGCCCUCAGCAGGCAGCCCCUGCCCAAGGCAACAUGUGGAAGUGGAUUCUGGUCUUCAGGGCUUCCAGCAUUCACUUUUGUUCCCCAUCUGUCUCUCUUCUCAUCAUAUGUCCCUCCUUAGGUCCCAGAAGCUAUGAAUGGAUCAUAAAUCAGUGCCCUGGCCACAAAGGAUCCCAGGAACAUGAGAUUCAGACAUUGUCUUCUUCUAUACUGCUUGGUAUUUCAUCACAGAAAGACAGACAAGGUCAGUUAAAGGAAAGAACUGGAGAGGUUAAUUAAAUCAGAUAAGGUCAGGUAAGACCAGAACGCCAGGCAGGCAAGAAAUAUCAAGGGCCAUUUUCACAAGAUGGCACUGAAGGUGAAGAAGGAAGUUCCUGCCCCUCCCAAAGCUGAAGCAAAAGCAAAGGUUUUGAAAGCCAAGAAGGCAGAGAUGAGAGGCAUCCACAGACACAAGUCACCCACCUUCUGGGACCCAAGACCCUGUGGUUCCAGAGGCAGCUCAAAUGUCUUCAGAAGAGCACCCCCAGGGGAAACAAGCUUGACCAUCAUGCCAUCCAUCGUCAGGCUCCCAACUGCCGAGUCCACCAUGAAGACAGAAGACAACCACAUGCCUGUGUUCACUGUGGAUGCCAAAGCCAACAAGUGCCAGAUCAAACAGGCUGUGAAGAAACUCUGUGACACUGAUGUGGCCAGUGUCAA
rnacentral:lncRNA from 1 species